rnacentral:rRNA from 1 species
CCUACGGGUGGCUGCAGUGAGGAAUAUUGGUCAAUGGGCGCGAGCCUGAACCAGCCAAGUCGCGUGAGGGAAGACGGUCCUAUGGAUUGUAAACCUCUUUUGUCGGGGAGCAAAAGACACCACGCGUGGCGUUCCGAGAGUACCCUAAGAAAAAGCAUCGGCUAACUCCGUGCCAGCAGCCGCGGUAAUACGGAGGAUGCGAGCGUUAUCCGGAUUUAUUGGGUUUAAAGGGUGCGAAGGCGGAAGAUCAAGUCAGCGGUAAAAUUGGGAGGCUCAACCCCUUCGAGCCGUUAAAACGGUUGUUCUUGAGUGAGCGAGAAGUAUGCGGAAUGCGUGGUGUAGCGGUGAAAUGC